CAUAGCUGAGCCACACCGACACCAGCGUUAGCGUCUAGCUAACCCGCACCAAACCCAAAGAGCAUCAUCAUUGGAGCGGCUAGCUCUCCUCCAUUAUAGCCUAGCCGAGCUAGCGUUAGCAACAUACCUUCCGCAACAUCCUCAUCUAUCGCUCCUUUCACUUGAGAGAAACACCACUGAAAAUCAUUUCCUCCUGCAACCCCUGCAAGGUAAAAAGGGAAGAGCACAGUUUUGUCGCAUUAGUUUGGCGACGGCACAACAAAAGAGCUGCAAGUGACACAGUUUUGACAACUAGCACGUUAGCUAGCCAGGCCAUCAUUCUCAUACACAUACACACGCUAGCAAGGUGGAUCCUUUUCCUCCCUUCUUCCCUAAAAGUAGCUUACCCGCCAUUGCUUCAUUUAGCAGCUUUUGCUCUACACCGCCUCCGAUGUCCCCAAGACGACCCGCUCGGCUCACUCGGAGAAACGGUUUAGGAUCCACAAUCAAUGUGAACAGUCGGGCUUCGGAUCUGUCAAGAGCACAGAAAUUAUCCGUGAUUUUUUUUUUCGCUUUCCAAAAUGGCGCACAGUACAUGGAGCGGUGACGUCAUGCACACAUGCCACUCUCGGGGCGCCAUGCCUCCUGCUCCAGCAUCACCAAGGAUCAGGGCCACAUUCGGCAGACACGCCGCCUCCGGAGAAGACGCCAUUUUCCUCGGAAAAUACGGCUCAUUACCAGUGCAGACAAAAUGAAGCAUCCUAAAUGCCAGGAGGCCCAGCAAUGAGCGAGCAUCCAUGAUGAGGCCUUCCAUGUGAUGCCGUCUUCUCACCGGCGCAGUGCUGCCGCAGGUCCGACCUGGCGGAGGACACACCUCUGUUUCCCCGCUGCCUCAUGUGAGUCUUUUUGGGGGGUUUUCACUCUCUUUUGCAUAAGUGGUGUGGUUAAACCUCACACCGAGGAACAUAAGCUCAGCGUUUAAGCCAUUUAGUGAAAAAUGCAACACUGUGUGACUUCACGCUUCAUUAGCCAGCAUCAAAGCAUUAGCUUGUGCUUUUUCUUUGGCUUUUUGGAGCUUUUCCAGCCACCUACCGAUGUACUGAAAAAUGAAAGGGUGCGACACUACCGCUCAAAAGUUUUAGAACAGUCCAAUUCCUGUAAAGGAAAAAGCUCCAUUUGGAAGCGUCGAGAUGGUCUGUCUCUCGUCCGCUGCUUUUCUUGCCAUUUUUGUAGCAACAAAUGACUUUCUCCAGUACAAUGCUGUUCAACUGAUGCUUACGAAGGUAUCGUACCACAGUGUGUUCUUAUGCAGACAGAGGAGGUAGUAAGUCCUCCUGUAGGAAUGAGUUGGUUGAUCAGCCUCCAUUUCUGCAGCUUUCAAUUGUUGACCCAUUUUGUGGUCCCUGAAACAGUAUCAUUCUCAAAUGCACAUGAUUUUGGCUAACCUUACUUAACUCUUGGUCAAUUGUCCUCUGGUAAUAUUAUGACUUUGUUCCCACAAUAUUUUACUUUAUUUCCAUAAUAUUCCAAUUUUUUCUGCAACCUAAUUUUCCAACAAUGAAAAUGAAAGCUGUUUUUCCCAUUUCUGCUGCUUUUAUAAAAAUGUUCCAACUAUUUUAACUUCCAUCCAUCCAUUUUCUUCCGCUUAUUCGGGUCUGGGUCGCGGGGGCAGCUGUCUCCGGCCUUCCGGGUCAGCUCUCUCUUCACCACCACGGUCCGGUACAGCGACCGCGUUACUGCAGACACUGCGCCGAUCCAACUUUCCCUCGCUCGUGAACAAGACCCCGAGAUACUUGAACCCCCCCACCUGGGGCAGAACCUUAUUCCCCACCCACCCUUUUCCCACUGAGAACCAUGGCCUUGGAUUUGGAGGUGCUGAGUCUCAUCCCAGAAGCUUCACAAAGAAGCUUCCAAACCGAGUAAACAGUAAACGCUGCAGGUCACAGCCCGAUGAGGCCUUCAGGACCAAAUCUUCUGCAAAUAGCAGAGACCAGAUCCUCAGGCCCCUAAACUGGACCCAGGGAGGCUGAGGAGUGUGAUCCCCUUGUAGUUGGAACACACCCUGCGGUCACCCUUCUUGAAAAGGGGGACCACCACGCCGGUCUGCCAA